UGAGCAAUCUGCCCUUCUCAUCGGAAUAAGCGUUGGAAACGACGUCUAAUGCCGAAUACGACCUCCUUUCGCAUGAUCGGAGGUGGAAAGCUCCGGCGGAGAAGGAUGAGCUCGCGGCCUAUCAGCUAGUUGGUGUGGGUAAUGGCCCACCAAGGCGACGACGGGUAGCCGGCCUGAGAGGGUGACCGGCCACACUGGGACUGAGACACGGCCCAGACUCCUA
rnacentral:rRNA from 1 species